rnacentral:sRNA from 1 species
UUCCUCAAUGUGGGCAACGGUCACAAAUCUCCCAGUGAUGUGGACUAUGGAGGACAGGUGACUAUCUUUUCCAGAGGUGAUGAGGGCUCACUUUGAACACCCAUGAACACUAGGGAGAAAUCACAUGGAUUAUCUUGACUCGCAGCAAAGGGUAGAUAAUGUAUUCGUUAACCAUCAUUUUCCUAAAUAAUCAGUCACAACCUUACAGACACAUUGGGAACUUUCUUUUCAAGCUCCCGAGAGAGCUCGGGAAGGCCUGCUCAGGAAGACAAGACAUUUGGCCACGUGGUACCAGAUUCCUUCGGCACUCAAAAGGCUGAGGGACUAAGACCCUCUGAAAAACUGUCUGGGUGGCAGGACACUGUAGCUACUGUAUGCAAAGCCACAGUGGGAGGCACUGACCAUUGAACAAGUGCUCAGAGGCCAGAGAAGAAGCAGCUUUUCAAUGGAAUGAUCUCCGUGAUGCUCAAAACGAACACCUCCAAAGUGCAGGCAAAUUCCUCAACAUUGUUUUGGUAUUUGAGAUCAACAGAGAAGUUCAACUAAUACAUCAUCUACUAUCAAGGUCUCUCUCCACACUGGUCAACCCCUAUGACAUCAUCUGCAGCUUGAGAAACAUUGACCUGUGCAUUUCUUCACUUGUGAAUAUGAUUUCACGCUAUCAACAAUAUUAAACUGACUUACCAUGAGGUCCCUAACAGCCCACUGCCCACCAGAGGUAGUAGAAAAGAAAG